UCUUAUCUUCACAACAGUAGCCGCCACCAGCCGACCUACAUAAGCGGGGUCUACAGAAGUCAUCAAUGGAUUGACGUGUUUUACAAACAAAAUGUUUCUUCAUCUCAGCACCAUGUUUAGCCGUCCAUAAACCGAGAAUGGGUGUUUGGGUUCUGGAGAAGGUAUGCAUUUUCAUUUUUAUUUUGCGACCACAAGCGCCGAACAUUCAAUACAGAGAUUUCUCCUAACUAAAAUCUACGAAGAUAAGAACAAACAAUAGACCAUCAAAUAUCCCGUCGGCAGGCGGGUAUGCCGGACUAGCGACGAGAGACGUGACCACAAAGUGCAUCCGCACGCACCAGACCACCAGCCGCUCCCGCCAUUGGCUGCUGUCCAGUCUCGUGGCUGAAGCAGCAGUUGACGAUCAUCAAGAUGGGGCACAGUACAAGCACAUCCUCCCCAAUCAAACCCAAGCAUCUGCCAUCCAUCCAUCCAUCCAGGUUGUAGUACACACACGAACGGAGCGUCUCGUCUCGUGUUCCCCGUGCACGGCGCACGCGUCAUGGGGGCCGGCAUGUGAGGCCGCUUUCGCUGCUCCUCCGGCGGGUGAAUGGGGCCGCUGCCGCCGCGGACUCGCCGACGGGUGACGGCGACGCCUCGCCCGUCGACGUACCGCAACGUGCACCGCGGAAACUGGAUCGGCCGAACCGGCCGCGUGGUUCGAGUGGCACGCGGUGAACAGUCCGUUUCAUCGUAACGUGAGAUGUUUCACAUUCAGGGGUAGCUG
rnacentral:lncRNA from 1 species